GUCAGAAGGAGGAAGGCUCAGAAACAUCUUAUUAGUUCCCCAUGUGUGCCUAGGAAAAGAGAGGUAAAUAUGAAGAGCUACCUUUUAUUAACACAGAAAACAAGCGAUGAAGCCAAACCCAAACAGUACGGAGAAAAUGUAGCACAUAGUUAAAGCAAUUCUAUUAAAAAAUCAGAAUAGGACAAAUGAGCAUGUGCAGUUUAAGUAAGUAUAAAUAUGUUGUGUGAGUCAUGGUGAAAAGCAUAUCUCUGCCUAAUGUUUGCAGCAGUAAAUAUCAAAUUAAUAUAUGUUUGUUUUGUGUUGCUUCUAAUGAUAUCAGAAUCACCUGGAUCAAUGAUAGCCAGUGUGCAUACUCUGUAGUAUUUCCCACAUGCUGUGCCCAAUUCAAUAUUAUUGCCACUGUAGUGAUGGACACCAGUUUUGGCCAACAUGGCCUAGUAUUCUAUUUCAGAUUUCCUCAAAGCCGGGCAAUUGUUGGCCAGGAUGACCAGUUUCGCGGCCACCAUCUUCCUGCCUUAGACGCGGGACGGCCCCAACCAACAGCAACCGCCAAAAAAUCCCCAUUCCCUUUUAUACUGCUCCAGCAAUAUAUGACAGUGAGCUGCUCCAUAUCCCCCCCCACCCCUACCCUCCCCGCCCUGCCCAAUCUGGUAUGGUAUCCUUUGUUCAUUACAGCCAUCCCAGUAGGUGUGAAGUGGUCUUAA
rnacentral:lncRNA from 1 species